UGACUAACAACCAAGGGAACCGUAAUCGGAUAGCGGCGAUAGAGGUAUUAUUAUGCAGGUUGAUCAUAUAGUGCUGAGCUUGAGACCUGGUGGAGGCGGCAAUCGAGGGACCCCGUUUCUAUUCCUCUUCUUCAGAUCUUCCCCUCCUUCGUCCCCAUGGCGGUGCUGGUUUUGGUUAUUGGCUCGUGUAACUUGGUGUUGUUAAGUUGGGUUUGACUUGUAUGAAUCCAUUUUCGCUGAAAGGAACAUAUGGAUUGAGAUUUUACAGGAUAGCUACAAACAGGAAGUAGAUACGUGGUUUAACACGGAUAGUUGCACGAGUAAUAUUUGGCAUCGCUUCAAUAGUAUUGAUCUGAUACUUUGAACUUAUAAGUAUGAGUACUAUAUUUUGUUGCUAUUUCCGAAAUCUGUUAUGAUGGCUAUUCUUAAAUACUUGUUUACCUAUGCGAUUCUGAAAAAGGAUCAAUCUUUAUGAAAGCAUUUAAGAUAUGUUUAUGAAUUAUUGGUAUUGGAAACGGCAACCAAACAAGGGCACUGUGUUUUCUCAAGAAGGUUGGUAUGUUUCAUAUUGGACAUCUUGCCAUUGGGGACAUCUUCUGGAGUUGUUGCAUUAUUCUUGGUUAAUGAGUGAGCGGAGAGGAGAUAAAGAUAAUACAGUUUGGUAGGAGAAGACUAUGUAUUUUAAAACAAGUUUGGAUGCCAUGUCCUUUGAAAGUGAAUUAGAUGGAGAUUUGUAAACAUUAAUUUCCUAAUUCUUGGCAGUGCGUUUAUGGUGUGUAUUUGCUGUAAAUAUGGACAGACAUUAUUUUUUUUGUGGGCUGUAGGUGGGCAUGAAGUUAGCAUGAGAUUGCCCAUAAAGAUAUACAUACAUGGAAGCUUCUUCCAAGAGAUUUUAUUCAAGAAGGGGAUUACACUCUUGGGCCUUGGUGUAGCCCUGUUUUUUUCUUCAGUAGUAUUAUUGUACGGAUACUUAGAAGUUUAUAUGCUCUACUUUGUUGGUAUUUCCAAAACCAGUUCUGGUGACUUUUCUCAAAGCUUGUUUUUCGGCGAGAUUCUGAAAAGGACCAAUUUUUAUUGAAGCAUUGAAGAGAUACUUUUGAAUUCUUGAAAAUGACCACACGUGGUCAUUCUGUUUGAUGAAGUAGUGAUUGCCUUAUUGGAAUGUUUCAUAUUGGAUAUCUGUCCAUAGGUGAUGUUUCAGGAGUUAUUCCAGUACUCCUGGUUCAUGAGUAUGUGGAAAGGAAACAAAGAGAAUACAGGUCGUUAGAACUCCAAGUAUUUUCAAUAAAUUCGGAUAUGAUGUCCUUUGAAGGGAAUGUAAUGGAAACUUUUAGACUCAAUUGUCCUGAUUCUUGGCAGUGCGCUUAAGGUGUGUUUCUGCUGUAAAUAUGGACAUACAGUAUUCUGUAGGCUUUAGGUGGGCAUGAAGUUAGUAUCAGAUUGCCCAUAAAGAACCUACAUACAUGGAAGCCUCUUCCAAGGGAUUUUAUUGUAGAAGGCGAUUACACCGUUGUGAUGUAGGUUUUUUUUCUUAGAUUCAUUCCAAUCAUGAUCGUCAAGCAUUUACUUAAUUAAUAGUUAUGGUUUUUUUUUUUUGUCGUGAUUGGUGGCAUGGGAUCAGUUCAUGACCCAUUUGACAGCCGGUGAAUAUCCUGUGGUAAUACUUUAGAGAAUUUAUCAUCCAAGUUUUUUCUGAUUAUUAAUUGGAUUUAAUUUUUUGGGCAAAUGUUACAUUUGCAUUUUGCAUCUUUAGUUUAUUUGUCUCAUAACAAACAUGGAGUUUCACUUAUUUGCUUUUACAGAGUUCCUAUUUCAUGUCGAAACUUCAGCCAUACGCUUUGAUGGUAUUAUGGAAGUUAUAUUUCGUGCAUGUAGGUUUGCCGUUAUGUAUGACCUAUUUGUUGUGCUCAACUCAUGUGUUCACAUGUCCUUAAGCUUCCUUGUUGACUUUGCCUAUUAUGACUCAUAUUCAUUGUGCUGUGUAUGUUAGCCAUGUUUUUUCAUGCCCUCUUAUAUAGAGUUCUUGCGUUGUAGCUCUCUCUGGGGAUUUUAAAAUGAUGAAUGAUGUCUGUUGUGCAGGUUUGUAGAAUUGAACUCUUUAUUGGAACCUGAGAGACCUCCCAAAAAUGACAAGUUGGCCAUACGUGGGGACGCCAUCCAAGUUGUGAACCAGUUGCGAGCUGAAUCCCAACAUUUCAAGGAGACAAAUGAGAAACUUGUAGAAGAGAUAAAAAGUUUUAACGGUUGGUUAUAUUUAUGUACCAUUCUCUUUGAGUGAAGCUUCGCUAAUUUGUGGUAUUGUACGACAUUGAUUUUGCCAUUUUUGUACUCUAUGCCAUUGCUGAGUGAGGGAACCAAGCGCUAUAAAGCAAAAAGGCAAAUCUUUUGGACUAUAUAAUUUGCCUAAACUACUUUAACACAUACAUUAACAUAAUUCAUCACACAUAUACAUGACAACCAUAAAGCUUCACGCAUAUAUUCAACGGGCACGUCAUCGCAUGAUGCCUACUCACUAGUAGGUCUAAUGUGGAUCUUGAUUGAUCAAUGAAAAAUUGGUUCCUGUAGUUGACUUCUUUUUACUUUGAUUCUUGGCUUACAAAGCCCGUUGAAUGCUUAUAACUACGUAUUUCCAUGCAACUCUAACUAAAGGCAAUUAUUUGAAAUGUCGUCACAGGCGUACCCUUGCUUCUUGUGACUGAAAAGUUUAAGCGAAGAGGAUCCAAUUUGAAUGCAACCUGAGUUUGUUGAAAAACACGUAUUGUAUGUACUCAUCUCAUGCUAUUCUGCAUCUGUUUUUAUCUUGUUUUAUUUGGGGAAGGUAUUCACAGCUUACCAGAUAGCCUAGGAGAUGAUCUAACCGUUGAAGUCCAGGAUUCCCAAGGGAAAUUUUUUUGUGUCGUGUGCUUUUCCAAGUGGCUUAUAUCUUAGAGAUCUGGUAAAGCCUCCAAAUCCUCAGUUUAGUUAUGAAGCUAGCUGUUAAUGAGUGGUUUUUUAUUGAGGGAUUUUGAUUUUGAUGUCAUUGCAAGGUGAUAAGAUACGAUAGUGGUCUAUUUAUCGUGAACAAGAACAUGAACUUGUUGGAAAAUUGCGACUUUUUAUUAAUUGCUCUACGGUUUAGUCUUUUUGAUGAAAAUAAUCAUCUUAAGUGCGGCUUUGAUGCAGAAACAGUGGGCAUAUGAUGUGGUCUCAAUGAAAGUUCAACAUUUUCAACAAAGAAAUUUGCUGCUGCAUGGCCCAUAGAAAUGGUUGCUGAUUGAAUUUGCGUCGUAUUAGGGUGUUUCAGAUGCUUACACAAGGCUAAGGAUAGUUCACAAAGAUGACACUAGCAAAGAGCUGUUUGAAUGUGAUUUUAGGGCAUCAAUCGCCAGCCACAUAACCCAAUGUUAAUUGUGCCUACUUUGUCCCUUUUUCAGCACCAUAGUGCUGACUUCUAAAGUUAAAGUUAGACCGACAUAUACUUUAGCCUGCAAAGAAAGGUAGUUUUAUAAUUUUGU